GCCUUUUCCACAAUGACCUAGAGAAGCAAAGGAGAGAUAAAAACAAUGUUCAAUAUGUUCUCAAUCAAUGAAUCCAUCACUUCACCACUAAAUGGACAAGUCAAAGUACUUGUUAUCCUUAUUUUUAUUUGUCAAGAAAAAAAAGGAUCUGAGGAAGUACCGAAUGAGCGACCGAGUGAAGUGAUCUAAAUAAAGCUUGUUGACAGUAGCUAAGGUAAGUCAGCCAGAGAGAGACGUGUUUACAGAGAAAGGCUUUGAAUCUGGUGGUUGGUUUGGAAAUAGAGCGCACACAAUUUAUUUUUUUUUUCUUCUUCUUCUUCUUCUCCUUUGCACCUAAAAAUAGUGCUUAGAGCAACUCAUCCUUAAGAGCUUUAAUGAUUCAUCACUUGACCGUACAGAAGAGUGAUUGGGAGACGCUUUAAAUCAAAAAUGUUUACUUUUCGUUGUGAUGGUGAUGUGGUCAGAGUGGCUGUUAAGAUCAGGAAAAUCAGACUGCGGCUGCCGCUUAUGCUCCAAUUGCCUGAUUAGUGGUUCCCCUACUGGCUGUGAUGUCCUUUUUAAAAAUAGUUUUUUUAUUUGCUAAAGUUAGAUGCCAUUUUGAGAAUUUGCAAUGGGAAGAAUAAAUAUACACAGAAUACAGUUUGUUAGCAAGGUAGCCAAGAGGAAGCAGCUAAUUGUUCAAGCUUCGGUUCUACAAUGCUGCCAGUGAUUUACCUGAAAAUAAGUACAUGUAGUCGUAAAUAAAAACAAUAUUACGUUAAUGUUUUCAGCUAAACAAAAAUCCACAGGUUAGAUAAAGCUCAUGCUAAGUUUGCCUGUGCAAGAUUCUAAGAUUUCAACUUACUUUAAAGAUUAUUUCAACAUUUGUGUAACAAAAAAAACACGAUUCAAAGCAGAAUACUUUGUCGGCAUUUUUUAAUGCUGAAAAUGUAAUGCGCUCAAGUAACAAACGUGACCUUUGGGCUGAAUAAAGAGACAACUACAAGUCUGAUAGCUCUUCAAAACACCAAAAGAGACGGAUUUUCAGGGAUCAUUUACUAAACAUUUCAUGACAAUAUCUGAAAAAUAAAGUCUCUCAUUUUUCUCAUUUUACACCUAAAAUGUCCUGUUUCAUUCAGAAAAUAAUAAUUAUUUGCCUUUUAAAAUGUGGUCUACCGCCCAUCUUUUUUUUUGCUUAUUAAUAUAUCUAGUAGAAACUCAUGUAUCAAUCAGACAAACGUGUAGUUUAUUCAAAUGUCUUCUUCUUAAAUCUAAAAAUAACAGGGUUUUUUUUAAUAUCCAUCCAAAUAUCAACCUAUUUUUAUAACUCAAUUCUACUGGAAAUGUAUCUGCAACUACACAGCAUAUAUAAAGUGUUUGCUUUUAUAGAUUUGAUCAAAUGUUGUAAACAAAGGCGAGAACACGACAUGAAAUACUGUGGUAGCCUUUCCAAAAAUGCAGUGUAAUUGUUGCGCUCAUCCAUGAUUGAUCGGCUGCUUGAUCAAGGAUGCGACGGUAAAGUCAGUGAAACUAGACGGAAAGAGAAAAGGUGAAGCUCAUCACACAACCAUGGUCACAUGAGGUUUUGAUCCAGACCGUCCUGUUCGAUGGGGAUGAGGUAAACAGCACAGCCUAUACAAGCUAAUGAAUAUCCGGCGAAAAACAAACAGUCUUUUCUUUAGGAGUAACUAUUUUUAAUCCGCCCAUAUCUGGUUAAUUUCAACGUUUGCCCUUAAAAAUAAACAUAGCUAUCUUUUUUUAUUUAUAAGAAAACAGUCACUGUGACACGUUACCUAAAAUUCUAAAUUAAUAUACGUCAGGAUGAAAUACAGGAAGCUAGCUUGACUACCCGGCCUGUUAACUGCGAUAACCUCUGUCGUCUUUAGCUAACGACCAUGUUUACUAACGUGGCAGCUGAAAAUGGACACAACCACGUCAGCAAAUACGUUUGAAUUACUUUAUAUGUCCAUUGAGUGCUUUUAUUUCGAGUUUUUCGAACAGUCAGAACAUAAAAUGUGUGUAUCUAAAAAAAAAAAAAAAA